GGGCGACUAGUUCAGCGGAAGAACGCUUCCCUCACACGGAAGAGGUCACAGGUUCGAACCCUGUGUCGCCCACCA
rnacentral:tRNA from 1 species